UUUCCGUAGGUGAACCUGCGGAAGGAUCAUUCAUAAUAAGUGUUUUAUGGCACUUUUUUAAAUCCAUAUCCACCUUGUGUGCAAUGUCAGGGUUGAUUUUUCUCUCGAGAGGAUCAACCCCAAACAUCAACUAUAUCUCAACUCUUUGUCUGAAAAAUAUUAUGAAUAAAACAAUUCAAAAUAUAACUUUCAACAACGGAUCUCUUGGCUCUC
rnacentral:misc_RNA from 1 species